UACACAUUCCCCCGACACCAGCAGCGAAGGACGGACGACCGCGUCUCUUGGCUACCGACACGGACGCCACCGCCCAGUUCCUGCAUUGUGGCACUCAUAGACACAUACAUACGCUCGUUUCCCGCGUAUCUAGUCCAAUACUUGCGUCUCCCUCCCCGCCCCCACCACACGUCACAUGACCGCCUCGUUGUCGUCCUCCCCGGUGCGGCACCCAAGCGUCGACAACGCCGCCAUUCCAGCGGCGAGCCACCACAUCCCCCCGCCUCUUAACGGGUACGCUUUUCUCGAGCACCGCCGUAGUGCCCUUUCACAUGACACCUUCAUCGCCCGCGAUGUGCGCCAGCAGCAACAUCCGGAGCAGCAGGAUAACGACCAGGCGAAGGUCAUCAUUCGCGUCUACGCCCUGGAGUAUCUGCGCCGCGAUGAGGAAUGCAGAUUCGCGCUUGAGCGGGAGUGCCUGGCAGCGCGUCUGGUGGUGCAUCCGCAUCUGCUGCCACUGGGCUCCCCCUUCGCCUCCAAGACAGAUUUGUUUGUUGUCGAGAAGUAUUGCGCCGGCGGCGACCUCUACGAGCUGAUGGUGUCACUCGCCAAGGAGGGCCCCAUCGCCUCGGAGACGGGGGCGGCGAAAGGCGAAGCGCCGCCUCGCAGCAGCACCGGCCUGCCCAUCAACACCGUUAAACGCUUCAUGCGAGAGUUGCUCUCCGCCGUGCAGUACCUGCACCGCACCUGUGGACUCGUGCACCGAAACAUCAAGCUCGAAACCCUCUUCAUCGACGAGGAGCAACAUCUUCGACUCGGUAGCUUCGGGCUGUGUGCGGUGUUGCCACCACCGAGUGUGGCGACGGGAGACAGAGAAGGGGCGUUGGAUGCGCCGGAGGACAAGGCGUCUUCAUCACAUGCGCCUCUGCGGCUGUGCUGCGGGUCGAAGCACUACGCCGCGCCGGAGCUGGUGCAGGGUCACCCCUAUCAGGGCGAGGGCGUCGACGCCUGGGCCUGUGGCGUCGUGCUCUUCGCUCUUCUCACCGGCUGCUUUCCGUUCGACAGCGACGACGGCGAUGAGGCCCUCUUCCGACUUCUGUGCGGCGAUGUGGAGGCCCACCUGGCGCAGCACCCGGCCAUGGCGGCCAUCGAAGAUCCUCAGGCGUGCGAUCUGGUGCGCAACUUGCUGCGGCCUAAUCCUAACGCCCGCUACACCGUCUCCGAGGCGCUUGAGCACCCGUACCUGUGGGAAGUGUGAGCAGGCGAAAUGGAAGGCAAGGGAGAAGCGUGGUGAAAUGACGCCGACAGGGAGGGGGGCUGGCAGGAGCGUUCCGCAUCGCUUCCGCAGCACCGCUGCACUCUUCUCCUCCCCACUCCACGUGCGUACGCCGCACAAGCACAUGCACCCAUGUGCACACUUCUCUUCGCACCACACGGCACGCCAUGCGCCCUAUAUGGAGAGGGGCGCCACGUGGCCCUCCCCAUCCUGCUUGACGAGUCUGAUCCUCACCUCCACCCUCGUCAGCGGCCCGUGGACGAUGGUGCAGCACACGCCGUGGGCGGCUGUCGCGCGCGGCGCAUGGGGAGCUCGAUGUGAGGCUGGCAUCUCUUGCCAUCGCUCCACCCAUCCUCUCUCUUCCGACGCACCCUAUGAGUCGCCGUCACCUCAACCCUUUCACUCCACUCCGCUUCUCUCUGCCUGGCACCUCACCACGCUACGCGCACUCGCUCGCGUUUCAG
rnacentral:misc_RNA from 1 species